rnacentral:hammerhead_ribozyme from 1 species
AUCCAGCUGAUGAGUCUCAAAUGAGACGAAGAGCACUUCCUGGAU